rnacentral:lncRNA from 1 species
UUUGGGGACAACUUCCAACGUCACUUGAAUCCGAUCUGACAUCGACAACCUCUUAGCCUUCAUGACGGUGUAACGUCGGUGACGACGAGAUCUGUAUCGAAGCAAGCGAGAUUAUUUAGGUUUGUCUAUCAAAUUCCUUCAUUAUUUAAUUAGUUUUAUUUUGCAACUGAUUGAUUUUUUUGAUUAAUUGUUAUGGUGUUAUUGUCUUGAUUCAAUUGUCAAAUUACAGUAGGAUUCGAUUUCUAUCAUGUCAUAUUUGUUGAUUAAUUUUGUGAUUUGAGUCUUGCUUUUGUUUAAAUAGAAAGUCAGCAAUUUGUUAAUGUUAUUACAUAUUUUGGAUAUUAUUCUUUGUUGUAAUUUGAUUUUUUAUUGAAUUGUUUUGUGUUUGUCUUUAUGUAUGAAAUAGUUGCGGACAUGGGGAUUAUUUUAUGCAUAGCACAUUCGAAAUCUAUGAAGAUCUGUGGAAGAAAACUCAUAUGAUCGGAGUUGUACGUUGGCCAUAUCUCUGGAAGAAAACUCCUAUCUCAGCCAUGGCAAAGUAGAAGAAAUGAAUUUAUAGAAGUUUUCUCUAAAACUGGAGUUGUUUAUUUUGUAG